CGGAAAAAGUACAGGUCUUAAAGAGCAAC
rnacentral:piRNA from 1 species